UGAAUACGAGACGCUAAGGCGUCGAAGUAGUGUAUGUCAUACUUCCAAGAAAAGCUUGCACUGUCAUAGAUAAAAAACGCCUGUACCAUAACCGACACAGGUGGGUAGGUAGAGUAUACUAAGGGGCGCGAGAUAACUCUCUCUAAGGAACUCGGCAAAAUAACUCCGUAACUUCGGGAGAAGGAGUGCCUUAUUCUUAAGGUUGCAAUAACAAGAUCCAAGCAACUGUUUAUCAAAAACACAGGUCUCCGCUAAGUCGUAAGACGAUGUAUGGGGGCUGACGCCUGCCCAGUGCCAGAAGGUUAAAGAAGCUGGUUAGCAUUUGCGAAGCUAGUAACUGAAGCCCUGGUGAACGGCGGCCGUAACAAUAACGGUCCUAAGGUAGCGAAAUUCCUUGUCGGGUAAGUUCCGACCCGCACGAAAGGCGUAAUGAUUUGGAUACUGUCUCGGAGAGGGGCUCGGUGAAAUAGACUUGUCUGUGAAGAUGCGGACUACCUGCACCAGGACAGAAAGACCCUAUGAAGCUUUACUGUAACUUGAAAUUGAAAUUGGACUUUAUUCGCGCAGUAUAGGUGGGAGGCGUUGAUUAUAAUCUUGCGGGAUUAUUGGAGCCAUUAGUGAGAUACCACUCUUGUAAUGUUAGAUUUCUAACUUUGAAUCAUUAUCUGGUCAAAGAACAGUUUCAGGCGGGCAGUUUGACUGGGGCGGUCGCCUCCUAAACGGUAACGGAGGCGUACAAAGGUUUCCUCUGAACGGUUAGAAAUCGUAUCUAGAGUGUAAAGGCAUAAGGAAGCUUGACUGAGAGACCUACAAGUCGAGCAGGGACGAAAGUCGGUCUUAGUGAUCUGACGGUACUGAGUGGAAAGGCCGUCACUCAACGGAUAAAAGUUACUCUAGGAUAACAGGCUGAUCUCCCCCAAGAGUUCACAUCGACGGGGAGGUUUGGCACCUUGAUGUCGGCUCAUCGCAUCCUGGGGCGGUAGUACGUCCCAAGGGUUGGGCUGUUCGCCCAUGAAAGCGGUACGCGAGCUGGGUUCAGAACGUCGUGAGACAGUUCGGUCCAUAUCCGGUGUAGGCGUUAGAAUAUUGAGAGGAGCCUUCUUUAGUACGAGAGGACCGAGAAGGACAUACCUCUGGUGUACCAGUUAUCGUGCCAACGGUAAACGCUGGGUAGCUAUGUAUGGAGUGGAUAACCGCUGAAAGCAUCUAAGUGGGAAGCCCACCUCAAGAUAAGUAUUCUCAUC
rnacentral:rRNA from 1 species